rnacentral:rRNA from 1 species
AGUGAACGCUGGCGGUAGGCCUAACACAUGCAAGUCGAACGGCAGCACAGUAAGAGCUUGCUCUUACGGGUGGCGAGUGGCGGACGGGUGAGGAAUACAUCGGAAUCUACUUUUUCGUGGGGGAUAACGUAGGGAAACUUACGCUAAUACCGCAUACGACCUACGGGUUAAAGCAGGAGAUCUUCGGACCUUGCGCGAUUGAAUGAGCGGAUGUCGGAUUAGCUAGUUGGCGAGGUAAAGGCCCACCAAGGCGACGAUCCGUAGCUGCUCUGAGAGGAUGGGAGGCCAACUGGGAAAGGAGAGACGGUGCAGAGUCCUAUGGGAGGCAGAAGUAGGGAAUCUUAGGCAAUGGGCGAAAGCAUGACGGAGCAACGCGGCGUGAGUGAUGAAGGUCUUAGGAUCGUAAAACUCUGGUAUUAGGGAAAAAAAUAUGUGUAAGUAACUGGGCACAUCUUGACGGUACCAAAUAAGAAAGCCACGGCUAACUACGU